rnacentral:rRNA from 1 species
CUGGGAACUGCGUUUGUGACUGCAAGGCUAGAGUACGGCAGAGGGGGGUGGAAUUCCACGUGUAGCAGUGAAAUGCGUAGAGAUGUGGAGGAACACCAAUGGCGAAGGCAGCCCCCUGGGUCGAUACUGACGCUCAUGCACGAAAGCGUGGGUAGCAAAACAGGAUUAGAUACCCUGGUAGUCCACGCCCUAAACGAUGUCAACUAGGUGUUGGGGUGGGUAAAACCAUUUAGUACCGGAGCUAACGCGUGAAGUUGACCGCCUGGGGAGUACGGCCGCAAGGUUAAAACUCAAAGGAAUUGACGGGGACCCGCACAAGCGGUGGAUGAUGUGGAUUAAUUCGAUGCAACGCGAAAAACCUUACCUACCCUUGACAUGUCCAGAAGCCUGAAGAGAUUUGGGUGUGCCCGAAAGGGAACUGGAACACAGGUGCUGCAUGGCUGUCGUCAGCUCGUGUCGUG